GUCUACAGCCACGCCACCCUGAAUGUGCCCGAUCUCGUCUGAUCUCAGAAACUAAGAAGGGUCGGGCCUGGUUAGUACUUGGAUGGGAGACCACAGAGGAAUACCAGGUGCUGUAUGUA
rnacentral:rRNA from 1 species